rnacentral:ribozyme from 13 species
AGAAAGAAAAGAAAGAAGUAGAAGAAGAAGAAGAAGAAUAUGAGAGAGAGGAGACGGAAGAAGCUUUCUCUCUUCCUCUUCCCUCUCCUCCCUCUCUCUCUUACACUCUCUCUCAUUCUCUCUCUUUUUCUUCCCACAAGAAAGAGAGAAGGAGAGAGGGGUUACUUGCUUCUCAGAGAUUUUUGAAUAAGGAAAAUGAUACUCAA